AACUGAACCCAGAUUUAUAACAAUGGCGGGUAUGUUGAUGAAGAUGGCCUGUGUGAUGGUGGCUUGCAUGGUGGUGUUUGCACCCCAUGCAGAAGCCGCCGUGUCUUGCGGUCAGGUGGCGAGCAGCUUGUUUCCUUGCCUGACAUACCUAAGGAACGGUGGGGUAGUGCCGGAUACCUGUUGUGCUGGUGUUAAGGGACUUAACAGUGCAGCUAAAUCUACAGCUGACAAGAAAACCGCUUGUGGAUGCCUUAAGAAUGCUUAUAAUGCCUUACCUGGAAUACAAGCUCCCCUCGCAUCUAGCCUUCCCAGCAAAUGUGGUGUCUCAAUUCCAUACAAGAUCAGCCCCAAUACUGA
rnacentral:lncRNA from 1 species